GACGAACGCUGGCGGCGUGCUUAACACAUGCAAGUCGAACGGAAAGGCCCUGCUUUUGUGGGGUGCUCGAGUGGCGAACGGGGGAGUAACACGUGAGUAACCUGCCCUUGACUUUGGGAUAACUUCAGGAAACUGGGGCUAAUACCGGAUAGGAGCUCCUGCUGCAUGGUGGGGGUUGGAAAGUUUCGGCGGUUGGGGAUGGACUCGCGGCUUAUCAGCUUGUUGGUGGGGUAGUGGCUUACCAAGGCUUUGACGGGUAGCCGGCCUGAGAGGGUGACCGGCCACAUUGGGACUGAGAUACGGCACAGACUCCUACGGGAGGCAGCAGUGGGGAAUAUUGCACAAUGGGCGGAAGCCUGAUGCAGCAACGCCGCGUGCGGGAUGACGGCCUUCGGGUUGUAAACCGCUUUCGCCUGUGACGAAGCGUGAGUGACGGUAAUGGGUAAAGAAGCACCGGCUAACUACGUG
rnacentral:rRNA from 1 species